GACGAACGCUGGCGGCGUGCCUAAUACAUGCAAGUAGGACGCACAGUCUAUACCGUAGCUUGCUACACCAUAGGCUGUGAGUUGCGAACGGGUGAGUAACGCGUAGGUAACCUGCCUAUUAGAGGGGGAUAACUAUUGGAAACGAUAGCUAAUACCGCAUAACAGUAUGUAACACAUGUUAGAUGCUUGAAAGAUGCAAUUGCAUCGCUAGUAGAUGGACCUGCGUUGUAUUAGCUAGUAGGUAGGGUAAUGGCCUACCUAGGCGACGAUACAUAGCCGACCUGAGAGGGUGAUCGGCCACACUGGGACUGAGACACGGCCCAGACUCCUACGGGAGGCAGCAGUAGGGAAUCUUCGGCAAUGGGGGGAACCCUGACCGAGCAACGCCGCGUGAGUGAAGAAGGUUUUCGGAUCGUAAAGCUCUGUUGUUAAGGAAGAACGAGUGUGAGAAUGGAAAGUUCAUACUGUGACGGCACUUAACCAGAAAGGGACGGCUAACUACGUG
rnacentral:rRNA from 1 species